rnacentral:rRNA from 1 species
AUUGAACGCUGGCGGCAGGCCUAACACAUGCAAGUCGAACGGUAACAGGAAGCAGCUUGCUGCUUUGCUGACGAGUGGCGGACGGGUGAGUAAUGUCUGGGAAACUGCCCGAUGGAGGGGGAUAACUACUGGAAACGGUAGCUAAUACCGCAUAACGUCGCAAGACCAAAGAGGGGGACCUUAGGGCCUCUUGCCAUAGGAUGUGCCCAGAUGGGAUUAGCUAGUAGGUGGGGUAACGGCUCACCUAGGCGACGAUCCCUAGCUGGUCUGAGAGGAUGACCAGCCACACUGGAACUGAGACACGGUCCAGACUCCUACGGGAGGCAGCAGUGGGGAAUAUUGCACUAUGGGCGCAAGCCUGAUGCAGCCAUGCCGCGUGUAUGAAGAAGGCCUUCGGGUUGUAAAGUACUUUCAGCGGGGAGGAAGGGAGUAAAGUUAAUACCUUUGCUCAUUGACGUUUCCCGCAGAAGAAGCACCGGCUAACUCCGUG